GACGAACGCUGGCGGCGUGCUUAACACAUGCAAGUCGAACGCUGAAGCUCAGCUUGCUGGGUGGAUGAGUGGCGAACGGGUGAGUAACACGUGAGUAACCUGCCCUCUUCUUUGGGAUAACGCCCGGAAACGGGUGCUAAUACUGGAUAUUCACUGAUUCUCGCAUGGGGGUUGGUGGAAAGGUUUUUUCUGGUGGGGGAUGGGCUCGCGGCCUAUCAGCUUGUUGGUGGGGUGAUGGCCUACCAAGGCUUUGACGGGUAGCCGGCCUGAGAGGGUGACCGGUCACAUUGGGACGGCGAUACGGCCCAGAGUCCUACGGGAGGCAGCAGUGGGGAAUAGUGCACAAUGGGCGAAAGCCUGAGGCAGCGACGCCGCGUGAGGGAUGGAGGCCUUCGGGUUGUAAACCUCUUUCGCUCAUGGUCAAGCCGCAGCUUUGGGUUGUGGUGAGGGUAGUGGGUAAAGAAGCGCCGGCUAACUACGUG
rnacentral:rRNA from 1 species